rnacentral:rRNA from 1 species
AAAACAUGUCCUUUAGAAUUUAAUUUAAGGUCUAACCUGCCCACUGAUUUAAAUGGCCGCAGUAUUUUAACUGUGCAAAGGUAGCAUAAUCAUUAGUCUUUUAAUUGAAGGCUUGUAUGAAUGGUUGGACGAAAUAUUAACUGUUUCAUAAAAAUUUAUUUAGAAUUUUAUUUUUUAGUUAAAAAGCUAAAAUUUUUUUAAAAGACGAGAAGACCCUAUAGAUCUUUAUAAUUUAUUUAUUAUAGUUAUAUAGAUGAUUUAAAUUAUGAUUUUAUAUAUUAUUUUGUUGGGGUGACAUUAAAAUUUAAUAAACUUUUAAUAAAUUUUUACAUUAAUUUAUGAGUAAUUGAUCCAUUAUUAGUGAUUAUAAAAUUAAGUUACCUUAGGGAUAACAGCGUAAUUUUUUUGAAGAGUUCAUAUCGAUAAAAAAGAUUGCGACCUCGAUGUUGGAUUAAGAUAUAAUUUUGGGUGCAGCAAUUCAAUAAUUAAGUCUGUUCGACUUUUAAUUUCUUACAUGA